rnacentral:piRNA from 1 species
UCUUUGAGUCUCACUUAAGGAGGAGGUGGC